rnacentral:miRNA from 11 species
UAUAUAUAUGUGUGUGUGUGUGUGUGUAUACAUACAUACAUACAUACAUACAUACACACACACGCAGACACACACA